UGCCAGCAGCCGCGGUAACACGGGGGGCGCAAGCGUUAUUCGGAAUUAUUGGGGGUAAAGGGCGCGUAGGCGGUCUUGUCGGUCAGAUGUGAAAGCCCAGGGCUCAACCCUGGACGUGCAUUUGAAACAGCAAGACUUGAGUACGGGAGAGGAAAGCGGAAUUCCUGGUGUAGAGGUGAAAUUCGUAGAUAUCAGGAGGAACACCGAUGGCGAAGGCAUCUCUCUGGACCGAUACUGACGCUGAGGCGCGAAGGCGUGGGUAGCGAACGGGAUUAGCUA
rnacentral:rRNA from 1 species